rnacentral:rRNA from 1 species
UACGUAGGGGGCGAGCGUUGUCCGGAGUUACUGGGCGUAAAGCGCACGCAGGCGGUCUGCUAAGUUUGGAGUGACAGUUGGUGGCUCAACCACCAAAGUGCUUUGAAAACUGACAGACUUGAGGGCUUCAGAGGGACACGGAAUUCCGGGUGGAGUGGUGAAAUGCGUAGAGAUGUGGAGGAAUACCGAUGGCGAAGGCAGCCCCCUGGGCCAAUACUGACGCUCAUGCACGAAAGCGUGGGGAGCAAACAGG